GACGAACGCUGGCGGCGUGCUUAACACAUGCAAGUCGAACGAUGACGACCGUGCUUGCACGGUCUGAUUAGUGGCGAACGGGUGAGUAACACGUGAGUAACCUGCCCCCCACUCUGGAAUAACCUCGGGAAAUCGGGGCUAAUACCGGAUAUGAGCUCCUACCGCAUGGUGGGUGCUGGAAAGUUUUUCGGUGGGGGAUGGACUCGCGGCCUAUCAGUUUGUUGGUGAGGUAAUGGCUCACCAAGGCGAUGACGGGUAGCCGGCUUGAGAGGGCGACCGGCCACACUGGGACUGAGACACGGCCCAGACUCCUACGGGAGGCAGCAGUGGGGAAUAUUGCACAAUGGGCGAAAGCCUGAUGCAGCGACGCCGCGUGGGGGAUGACGGCCUUCGGGUUGUAAACCUCUUUCAGUAGGGAAGAAGCGAAAGUGACGGUACCUGCAGAAGAAGCGCCGGCUAACUACGUGCCAGCAGCCGCAGUAA
rnacentral:rRNA from 1 species